rnacentral:rRNA from 1 species
AGCGAACGCUGGCGGUAUGCUUAACACAUGCAAGUCGUGCGCGAAGUUUACUUCGAGCGGCGAACGGGUGAGUAACACGUACCCAACCUACCCUUAAGACUGGGAUAACUUCUGGAAACGGAAGCUAAUACCGGAUAGGUAAUGGAGUCUUAUGACACUAUUAUUAAAGCAGCGUUUGCUGCACUGAAGGAUGGGGAUGCGCAGCAUUAGAUAGUUGGUGAGGUAAUGGCUCACCAAGUCCACGAUGCUUAGCCGGCCUGAGAGGGUGAUCGGCCACACUGGAACUGAGACACGGUCCAGACUCCUACGGGAGGCAGCAGUAGGGAAUCUUCGACAAUGGGCGCAAGCCUGAUCGAGCAACGCCGCGUAAGGGAUGAAGGUCUUCGGAUCGUAAACCUCUGUUAUAAGGGAAGAACAGCUAGGGUAGGAAUGGCCUUAGUAUGACGGUACCUUAUCAGAAAGCUACGGCUAACUACGUGCCAGCAGCCGCCGUAAU